rnacentral:rRNA from 1 species
GACGAACGCUGGCGGCGUGCUUAACACAUGCAAGUCGAACGGAAAGGCCCUGCUUGCAGGGUACUCGAGUGGCGAACGGGUGAGUAACACGUGGGUGAUCUGCCCUGCACUUCGGGAUAAGCCUGGGAAACUGGGUCUAAUACCGGAUAGGAGCCAUUUUUAGUGUGAUGGUUGGAAAGUUUUUUCGGUGUAGGAUGAGCUGGCGGCCUAUCAGCUUGUUGGUGGGGUAAUGGCCUACCAAGGCGGCGACGGGUAGCCGGCCUGAGAGGGUGGACGGCCACAUUGGGACUGAGAGACGGCCCAGACGCCGACGGGAGGCAGCAGUGGGGAAUAUUGCACAAGGGGCGCAAGGCUGAUGCAGCGACGCCGCGUGGGGGAUGACGGCCUUCGGGUUGUAAACACCUUUCGCGAGGGACGAAGCUUUUUGUGACGGUACCUAGAGAAGAAGCACCGGCUAACUACGUG